rnacentral:rRNA from 1 species
GACGAACGCUGGCGGCGUGCUUAACACAUGCAAGUCGAACGGAAAGGCCCUGCUUUUGUGGGGUGCUCGAGUGGCGAACGGGUGAGUAACACGUGAGUAACCUGCCCUUGACUUUGGGAUAACUUCAGGAAACUGGGGCUAAUACCGGAUAGGAGCUCCUGCUGCAUGGUGGGGGUUGGAAAGUUUCGGCGGUUGGGGAUGGACUCGCGGCUUAUCAGCUUGUUGGUGGGGUAGUGGCUUACCAAGGCUUUGACGGGUAGCCGGCCUGAGAGGGUGACCGGCCACAUUGGGACUGAGAUACGGCCCAGACUCCUACGGGAGGCAGCAGUGGGGAAUAUUGCACAAUGGGCGGAAGCCUGAUGCAGCAACGCCGCGUGCGGGAUGAUGGCCUUCGGGUUGUAAACCGCUUUCGCCUGUGACGAAGCGUGAGUGACGGUAAUGGGUAAGAAGCACCGGCUAACUACGUG